CAGGGAAUGAGGGAGGAGAGCUGCUAGAGAAGAGAUAACGGCAAAAAAAAAAAAAGGAAAAAAGCCUAAAUACAGACAGGUUUACUUCCACCUCUGACAGGAAAUCAGAAAUCAUCACUGUGUGCAGCUCCAUGGCCCUCUCCAGAGUGAGGAUGAAGACCAGGUGCUGGAACACCUCUACCAGCCCCCAGUGCCCGUUUUCCACCUCAUCUUGGGAUGCUGGUAACCUCCAGAGCACGCCCAGGCUGGCUCAGGUAAGUUAUGUCAGCACUGACCUAUCCAUCUUCCAUGCUCCAAUUCUGUCCUUUAUUAAAGGAGAGUUCUGCUUGGCUAUCCCUCACUCUACAGACACACAGGCUGAGGGGAAAAAGCAGUGGGAAAAGUGCCAAAAUAUCCUGGAGCUGUCCAGAGCAAAAUUACAAAAUGAAUCUAUGGUGCCAGGGAUAUCCUCGGUCUGAAACAAAACGGUUGGUGAAAAACAGCAUGUUUUAUUCAUAGUGCUGUAUUUCAAAGUAUAUUUUAAAAUAUCUUCUUAAUAUUCCUCCAGAAGCCUAACACAGCACUUGAGCAUUCUGCAUAUCCCAUUGCUCAGUCAGGAGUUAUGAACCACACCCUGACUCAGCAGGAGCAGCAGGAAUCCAAUCCCAUGGAGUGAACAGGCACUGACUGCUCAGCUUGGCAGAUCCUGGGGCAUCAAAGGGAGCUGCUCUUGUCCACUCUUUGCUUUUGCUUUCCAGCAAAAAGUGCUGGUGUGAUGUAUGCCAGCCUGAAGGGGACCCUGGGCUGAAGAAGAAUUAAGAGUUUAUAUCCAAAGCAUUAGCAUCAGCAUUUGUAAGCGCCACCUCAGAGGGUUCCUGGUGCCUGUUUCACUCCUUUGUAUGGAAUUAUUCUUGCAUGGCAUUUGUAAUUGUUCCUGUCAGGAACAUGGAAACCUUGCACAUAUUCAGCAAUGUGCCUUGGAGAGCAGGUAACCUUGGAGAUCCAUGGGAUGUGCCCCUGGAUAAUGGAAAUUCUGCAGAUAGUUCCUGAAACGCUACUUUCCCCCUCACAUGAAAGCUGAAUUCUUUCCAGAGGUAAUGUUUGCCCUUGGCAAAACAAAUUUUGAUACAACAAUGUUUAUAAACAGCACAGGGCACCUGAAAUCCUUCACAUCUGUCAGAUGUCCCAGUACAAAUCUUCCUGCUUUUCAAGCAUGCACAGAGAGAAACGAAGGAAAAACCUCUGAGUGAUGAGGAUCCAAGGAAAUGAAGCAAAAUGGCUUCUUUUAUUGUUUAUAUUUGCAUAUGAAAAUUGAUUUCUUUUUCUGGAAUUGCAGUUUCCAAUCUCAUUGUGCCCCUUUCACAUUGGCCAUGAAACAAAAUGUGCUUUUCAGAACAAAAUGAAGAAGGGUUUUCCUCCACAGACCCUUUUCAAAGGUUCUGCCAGUUUUAGGCUGACUCAUCAACCUUUUUUUUUAGCUCAUAAAGCAGAUUCUUUUUCACCUCCAGUAUCUUCAUGAAAGUGUUUUCAUGGAGAACCAAUACAGAAACAAUGUCUGUUCUUUUCAGUUCCAAAUUCCAAAGAGCAACCUGCCUAGAUACUACUACUAAUGAUGAUUAUAGUACUAUUACUACUGCUAUUAGUGAUGCUGAAUUCUAUCUUUCUUUUAUAAUACUAAAAGAGGACUGUAUUGUAUUCCUGUCUUUUCCUUAUAAACAAACACCAUUAGAAUAGAAACCAUUUCCAGUAGUCAUGAAAUUUAGUGAAGCCUUUACCCUACAAAGCAGUGCCUAGCACAGUAGUGUAAAAUAGAAUUAAUUAACAAAAUUAAGCCCUUCUUGCACUCAACAUUAUGUUGCCAGCCUUGGCUAUAGUGCUUAAAAAAUUCAUUAUUUGUUUUUCUCUUUGACAGUGUGAAAUAUUGGCCAGAAGGGUAUUUCCAGGCUUUGCCAGGAGCUGCACCCCAGGACAAGCUGCACUCCUAAAUUCCACAGCAGGGCAGUCCUUUGGCAGCACUCCCUUCAUGACUCACAGUGCUGAGUGUGAAAACAUGUCUUUAUUUUAUGAAAUGCAGUAUUUUAUGCAAUUUAAUUCAUGUGUUUUUACCUAUUGUACAUAUUUUAAUUCAUGUAAUUUUAACGUAUUUCAGCUAACAAGACUUUCACCAAACAAGUUCACUUUGUGUCUCGAGAGCUGUCAGUGAGUGAAUGAAGGGGAAUUAUGCUUAUAAAAAAGAGAUGUUUUAUGAACCUGUUUUAAAUGUUUGUGAAUUACAGAAUCCCAGAAUGGUUUAGGUGGAAGGGACCUUAAAGCCCACCCAGUGGCACCCCCUGCCAUGGGCAGGGACACCUCCCACUAACCCAGGAUACUCCAAGCCCCUCCAGCCUGGUCUUGAAUAUGUAAUAAAUCUCCACAGAUACAGCAAACUCAGUGAUUUGCUUGACCCCCAAAUAAAUAUUAAUAAAUUGAGACAAAGAACGACAUUCAGUGCAGCAUUAUUAGAACAUUUAAUCAGAAUUAAUUUCAUACAGAAGUUUACAAACCACGAAAUGAGAGGAUUUUUAAUAAAACUGCACAGUGUUAGUUUCUACUCAUGCACACUGAGAUUCUCUUCAAAAUUCUUCUAAGUCCCAAAAUGAGUUAUCUGAAAACUACAAAUAUUAUACAAAUAUUAUAUCCCUUCAGGCUAAAGAAAAUAUUCAAGAUAAAAACGGAUGUGAGGUAUCUUUAUCCUCUUAGUCUCAGUUACUAUAAUGGAAUUCAACUAUUUUCUUGUGCAUGAUUUGUCUCCACAAAAAGAAAUAACAAAAUAUCAAAAACUGGGGAAAAGACAGAGUUUCUUCUUACAGAAAUUUUUGUUUGAGGGGUCUGAUUUAUGCCAAGGAAAAAUAUGUCUCUGUCCUCAAGCUCUUUACUCAAAGAAAACCGAGUAACUCCCAGUGGCUGUGGUGCUUCUGUAACAGGAUUUUGUGCUUUCUCAAGCCUCUCUUCCUUCCAGGAUUUUUGAACAGAGUUUUGGGGUUUUUUUGUAGGAAAAAAAGAACACCUUUUUCAAUUAUUGAGCAAAAGUAGAUACAGACAAGGGAAGAUGGCAGAAUUUUUACAUCUUAAUGCAACUUAGUCAUGCCAACAGGGAGGCGGUGGAGUCUCCCUCCGUGAAAGUGGAUGAGAUUCAAAAAAUGAGCCCAGGGAUAUCCAGUCAAAGGCUGGAUUUGAUGACCUCAAUGAUUUUGAAAGGAAACAAGUGGGAAAGCUCAGUGUGAGGGGACACACCAGGUCAAGCCAUCACUGCACACCCAGGGAGUUAAAGCAUUUGGGUAAAUUAAGAGCAAAUAGCACAGUGAAAUCAGACUCCUAGGGGAACAAUCUCAAUUAAUUUUGUUACAGAUCCCUUGAUGGUAUUAGGUUCAUCUCUGCCACCCUUGGACCAGGUUUGAGGUUGAAAGGGGAUUUUCAAGCCACCCAAGUUAGUUUUCCUCAGGAAGGCAAGGUGGUGGAUGGCAGCAUGCUUGGGGACUGAGCAGCACUUUUCAGCUAUUACAGACUAACAGCAUGUUUACUCAGCAGGCUCUUUCUGGAUGAGUUCCAAAGCUACCAGAAAUGGACUUUUGUAAUAAUUUUCUUAAACAUAUUUAAUUAAGGAAAUAGCAGAUGUUUAAAACUGAAGCUGCCACAACCCCCGAACUCCUUGCUUUGGCUAAAACCAUUCAAGCCACUCUCAACAAACAUCUCAUCAGUCUUAAAAACCCUACGUGCAAUUCUGCUGGCUGCAUGCAUUUUAUCCUGUGUUCUCCUGGCUUUUAGCAGAUUUAAUUAGCCUGGUUAUUUUUUGCUGGUUCUCUAAUCCUUAUUUUUCAAGCAAUGACUGUUCAGUUGUGUGAGCAGCUCCUUGCCCAUGCUCUAAAUCCCUGUUUAUGAAAUAUCUGGGUUUAAUGUCUUCCUAAAAGGCACUUAAAUAAUUGCCUUUAAUUUUACAAAGAAAAAUUAGUGGGAAAUAAAUCUUGUGAUGUUUUUGAUAACUGUAGGCAACCAUGUAUUGUAAAUGUGUCUGACCUAAGUGAAAGGUCUCCAAAAGUGAAAUUUGUGUUAUACCAUGUCAUUAAAUUCUGCCAAAUUUAUCUGGGCUUUUCAGGGUAACCCCAAGAUCUGAAAACGGUCCUGAACCUUCAGCUUUAGCUCAGUAGAUUGUAAAUAUGUCAUUUACAGCAUGAUUAUUACAAAAACUCUUCUGAAUGACCGGGGAAAGAGGAAUGUGGUUGUUACUGUUGGAAUCUGAUUUUGGUUUGUAAGGCUGGAGGAAUCUCUCUCUGAAAUGGGGAUGUUUUUCAACAUUUCAGUUUUCUGCUGAAGGAAAACAAGUAAAAGAACCAUUUUAAGCCCAAACUACUUAGUCACAGCAGACCCUUAAAAAGACCAAGUUCUAAAACUCCUGUAGUUUGAAAUUGUUCUACUUUACUCAGAGGAACUGUAUCAACUGAUACCAACAGUGUUACUGCACCACUCUAUUACAGCAGGUACGACCAUCCAAGGAAUUUUUUUACCUGAUUACUUUUUUCUCAUCUAAAAACAACUUCUGAGUUCUGGCUAAACUUUAUAUGUUGUAUUUUCUACUUUAAAAAAACCCUCAAAAAACAACAAAACAAAACAUAGACAAUAGAACAUUUUUUAAAAAUCCAUUUUUAUCAUACUAUAAUUCAGGUAUAGCACAAGAGUGACAGGACAAGGGGGAAUGGCAUCAAGCUGAAGGAGGGCAGGGUUAGAUGGGA